CGAGUCCGAGGAGCUAAGGCUCCAAAGUGAUGCGAGUCAGACUUCCCAGAAAAGCCCGAACCACGUUAAUUUCUAAUUACCUGUACCCGAAACCGACACAGGUGGGUAGGUAGAGUAUACUAAGGGGCGCGAGAUAACUCUCUCUAAGGAACUCGGCAAAAUGACUCCGUAACUUCGGGAGAAGGAGUGCCUUAUUUAUAAGGUUGCAAUAACAAGAUCCAGGCAACUGUUUAUCAAAAACACAGGUCUCCGCUAAGUCGUAAGACGAUGUAUGGGGGCUGACGCCUGCCCAGUGCCAGAAGGUUAAAGAAGUUGGUUAGUGUAUGCGAAGCUGAUGACUGAAGCCCUGGUGAACGGCGGCCGUAACCAUAACGGUCCUAAGGUAGCGAAAUUCCUUGUCGGGUAAGUUCCGACCCGCACGAAAGGCGUAAUGAUUUGGAUACUGUCUCGGAGAGAGGCUCGGUGAAAUAGACUUGUCUGUGAAGAUGCGGACUACCUGCACCAGGACAGAAAGACCCUAUGAAGCUUUACUGUAACUUGAAAUUGGAAUUGGACUUUGCUUGCGCAGUAUAGGUGGGAAGCGUUGAAGAUAUUCUUGCGGGAGUAUUGGAGCUAUCAGUGAGAUACCACUCUUGUAAUGUUAGAUUUCUAACUUUGAACCAUAAUCUGGUCAAAGAACAGUUUCAGGUGGGCAGUUUGACUGGGGCGGUCGCCUCCCAAAUGGUAACGGAGGCGUACAAAGGUUUCCUCUGAACGGAUAGAAAUCGUAUCUAGAGUGUAAAGGCAUAAGGAAGCUUGACUGUGAGACCUACAAGUCGAGCAGGGACGAAAGUCGGUCUUAGUGAUCUGACGGUACUGAGUGGAGAGGCCGUCACUCAACGGAUAAAAGUUACUCUAGGGAUAACAGGCUGAUCUCCCCCGAGAGUUCACAUCGACGGGGAGGUUUGGCACCUCGAUGUCGGCUCAUCGCAUCCUGGGGCGGUAGUACGUCCCAAGGGUUGGGCUGUUCGCCCAUGAAAGCGGUACGCGAGCUGGGUUCAGAACGUCGUGAGACAGUUCGGUCCAUAUCCGGUGUAGGCGUUAGAAUAUUGAGAGGAGCCUUCUUUAGUACGAGAGGACCGAGAAGGACACACCGCUGGUGUACCAGUUAUCGUGCCAACGGUAAACGCUGGGUAGCUAUGUGUGGAGUGGAUAACCGCUGAAAGCAUCUAAGUGGGAAGCCCACCUCAAGAUGAGUGCUCUCACAGGGUUAACCUGGUAAGGUCACGGGAAGACCACCCGUUAAUAGGCACUAGGUGGAAGUCCAGUAAUGGAUGGAGCC
rnacentral:rRNA from 1 species